UCAUGAAUAUGAACCAAUUUUUUAUAAACUCUAAAAUUGAAUUUGUAUUAAUGGAUAUCAAAUAUUAAAUUUUUCAGGUUUUGGCAAUGAUAAACGGAUGGGUGUGUCAAGGCGGUUGCUAUUUUGACUAUGCUUAAUGUGGUUGGCUAAUUUAAAGCGGUUUCAAAUCAUAUUUUCUGUAUGAUCAAUCGGCUACAUCAUUAUAUUAUCAUCUGAUGUGACGACUGUUACGGAUAUUAUCUGAUACAACUAACCUCGUAUACUUAGUUAUAAGGAGAGGCUAUCAGACAUUAUUCCGUUUCUAUACAUUUUAAUAAUUUGAAAAAAGGAAAACAAAACAAAAACUUAAGGUAAUUCGGAAAUAUUUCGCCAUACAAUUAAAGAUAAAUCGUUUUUACUUUAAGCUGCAGCGAUUUAUCCCUACGGCUAUAUGGAUAAACAUUUCAACGUUUCUUGCGAUCUUUUGGGCUAUUUACUACACUAUCUGGGCUAUUUUUACAUGUGUCGAUGUUCAUACAUGUUUCCUUUUAUAGUUUGGAACAUUUCUGCCGAGUCUGACGAAAAUAUUCUGAACUAUCGCAUUUAAUUGGGCGCCAUUUGUGUUAUGAACCGGUUGUAAGGCGAGGUUUCGACUAACUGCAUGACCGACCUCAGGAGGUUCCAACCCUUUCUCGCCAAACUCGUACUCUACACAAAACAAAAAGAGAUAGAUGUUGUCCUCUGUAUCUGCCCUCCCAACCUUGUCGCUGACGGAUCCACGGAAUUCUCUUUAUAGCGACCCAAAUCCCACCUGACCCUUGUAACCACUUACCGGUCUAUCAUCGCCAUUACCUUUACUUAAUUAGACCAACAUUGGCUUAAGCUUCUACUUCUUCAAUUCGAGUUCGAUUUAGCUACAACCUACAACUAAAGGAGCUCCCUGAGUUAUAUCUUUCAAUGCCUUUGUAAUGUAAUAAGGUUUUUGUCUACGCGCUUUUCUUUAGAUCUGGGUAAUAAUCUUAAGAUAUAUAUAUAUAGGUAUUUCUUUCUAAUUCUUGUAUUUUUCUUUUUUUUUUUCUUUUCCGGUAUACUCGAGCUUUAUGUGAUUCAAACAAAAAUACACGAAACUACAGACACUAGCACGGUUUACAAUAUUUCUUCCACGAUCACACAACUACCUUAUUAUAUCUUAAAAUCUACCUUAUUUUCUUUUUUGUUUUUAUAAUUGUUUUUUAAAUUUCUUGUUGGUUGAUAAUUGACCCUCAAUAGGACAAGUUUAAAAUGUUCUUUCAUAUAAUAUUGUCUUCACUUAUUAGCGUUUGUUGAAGAAAUUGUAUAAAGUAUGUUUGUUUGCUAUAUCAAGUGAGUUAGUUAUAUAAUGAUUGUUUUUAUAAAAUGAGUUUGUUUUAAUAAGUAUUUAAAUAUAAUAAUAUAAAGAUUUCA